AAGAAAGAGAACUAAACCCAUAAAAGAGUGCAACACUUGGUUAUAUAUCAAACUUUAGCCGAUCAAAUUUUUUUAUAAUUUAGUGCUGGUUGUCCUGUUUCAGAGCUCUUUGAAAGAUGACUGUACAGAUAAAAGCAUAGAAAGCCUUGAUGAGGGAAAGACAGUAUUAAUGAAGGAAGCAAUUGGAGAAGAAGCAAAGGAUGCAUUGGUUUCAAUUUCGAAGACAUGCAAGCUUUUGAAGUCAAUCUCAAGAACCAGAAACCGGGGUUGUUGUUGUGGAUGAGGAUGGAAAACUAGAAGACAGAGUUGGAGUGGCCUUGAAAUGUCUUCCAAACUAUGAUCCUGCUACCUGUUUGUUCGAAACAGUUUAAAGCUGCAACGGAAUCACCCCCCUAUACAGAAAGUGUGUGCGUAGGAUUGGAGCAUGCACACUCUUUUUUCCAGUUUCAAAGCGCAGAGACAGAGAGAGACUACACUUUGUUAGAUCGCAGGUUUUGUUCCUUGGUUUGGGUUGGACUCUAAGGGCUUCUGCUUUUUGUGUCCUUCCCCUGCUGCAUUGUGUUGUUAGAU